GCUGACAAGCGAGGACCCCAGGCAGGAAGCGGAUCGGCGCUCAGGCGGCUUCGCCGCCCCGCCCGGCCACCCCGCUCCGCUCUGCUCCGUUCCCGCUCCCGCCCCGGGAGUCUGUGUUUAAUGAAACAGCUUUAGUGUUUUGUUACUGGCUUCUUAGGGCUUAAAUGCAGAGUUUGAAAUGAUGCCUUGUGGUUGAGUGAGUGUCUUCCUGCUGAAUUCAGCAGGCAUUCGGUGAAUUUGGGCUUCUGCAGCGGAGGAGGCGGACCAGCUGAAGAGCCUGUUGCAGCCGAAGCGGCGCGAGCUGGCGCUGGACGUGCCGAAAGCAGAGGAACUGCCUGGGCUGCCAGAGAUGCUGAGAAAGGGCUGACGAAUUAGUGGUUACCACGACAACCUGUCACCUGUAGCUGAGCUCCACCCACCGCAUGUCCAAGGAGCUGCAGGUGAGGAACAAAGUGAAGCAGGAGCAGAAUGCCAGGCUGCAGCACCGAGGGAGAAUUGGAAGGAGCGCAGCUUGGAGGUGGCAGUGCUGGAGAAGCGUGUUAGUGAGCUGCCAGAGCACCUGGAGAAGAGAAAGGCAGCUCUGUCCCAGGGAGAGAAUGUACCAGUUUCUUCAGAUGGGAAUUCACCACAGCCAGUGGUUUCUGCUCCAAGGGGAGUGGCAGCAGUAGGUCCUUCUAUCCAGUCCUCUACUAUGCCACAUAUUGCUUCCAGAGCUGAACUUUAGGUGAAAGCAGCAUUCUCAGGUGGGACAUGAGCCUUGCCGGGCAGCUGAGGGUCUGCUAAAAUCACAAACUCCGCCCAGCGUGGGAGCUUGUAACCGUUCACAAGCUAAAGCUCCUGCAGGUAAGAGCUUAUGAUUAAUAGUUCUUAUCCAGACAUGUUUUGGUUCAUCUAACUGCUCUGUUUUGGUGGUUUGGGGUUUUGUUUGUUUGUUUGUUUUUGAAGCAAAGAGUUACUUGCGAUGUUAAGUCUCGCUACUUGCAAUUAUUUUUUUUUUGUGCCUGUGAAUACAUUUAUAAGCAGUGAGGUUAUACAGUUCAAUGUUAUAAAUUAGGUAAUUCUCUUAGUGAGCAACAGGAGUUGUUAUACAGUGUGGACUGCAGAAGGAUUUGUGUGUAAACUAAUUAUUUUUUUUAUUUUAAAGCUCUCCUAAAAACUAUACACCAGUGUGCGUUUGAGUUUCUAGAGUCAGUUUUGGGUCAUACCUGGUAACAAUCUGGUGCCUGGAUUUAACAACUAGCAAAGCCAAGUUUUGUGAUCAUGCAUUUUGGAAAUGACACGUGUAAAGGAUUUACCAUUAGCGUAGCUAACAUGGCUACAGGCUCUGAAGUUAGAACUUCAGAAAAGAAGGCUCCCUGCCAAGGUCAAGGAGGAGUCUUAGAAAGCUAAACAAGUUUUUUCAUCUCUUGUGGACACCUGCGAUGCUCCAAUUAACACCGGACAACAAAGUAUGUUUCUCUUAUGUAUCCAGUGCUGUGUGAAGAAGAAUCACACGUCCAGGUGUAGCAGCAGUAUAUAAUAAAUGUUCUUCUUCUAAUAAACGGACAUUUUGCCAACCA